CAGCCGCCGCGGUAAUACGGAGGGCGCGAGCGUUACCCGGAUUUACUGGGCGUAAAGGGCGUGUAGGCGGCCUGGGGCGUCCCAUGUGAAAGGCCACGGCUCAACCGUGGAGGAGCGUGGGAUACGCUCAGGCUAGAGGGUGGGAGAGGGUGGUGGAAUUCCCGGAGUAGCGGUGAAAUGCGCAGAUACCGGGAGGAACGCCGAUGGCGAAGGCAGCCACCUGGUCCACUUCUGACGCUGAGGCGCGAAAGCGUGGGGAGCAAACCGGAUUAGAUACCCCUGUAGUCCCUGUCUCUUAUAC
rnacentral:rRNA from 1 species